GUGAAUCAUCAAAUCUUUGAACGCAAAUUGCACUCUCCUCUGUGAGUAUGCCUGUUUGAGUGUCAGCCUAUAAAAAAUCGACAUCGUUGCUGCUUCGCGGUGGCCUUCGUCGGAAAUUGGGUUAUCUUAAAUCCUUUUGUGUUUUAAGCGACUUAAAAUUUUCUUUUUGGUUUCAUGACUGUUUCUAAUAUUUAUUUCUUUACACGUUUACGGUAUCGAUUUUGUUUAGCCG
rnacentral:misc_RNA from 1 species